rnacentral:rRNA from 1 species
GUGCCAGCCGCCGCGGUAAUACCGGCAGCCCAAGUGAUGGCCGCUGUUAUUGGGCCUAAAGCGUCCGUAGCUGGCUACGCAAGUCCGUCGGGAAAUCCACUCGCCCAACAGGUGGGCGUCCGGCGGAAACUGUGUGGCUUGGAACCGGAAGGCUCAGAGGGUACGUCCGGGGUAGGAGUGAAAUCCCGUAAUCCCGGACGGACCACCGAUGGCGAAAGCACUCUGAGAAGACGGCUUCGACAGUGAGGGACGAAAGCUAGGGUCUCAAACCGGAUUAGAAACCCUUGUAGUCC